UCUGUGCUCCUGCUGGCUUUGAAGCAGGAAGAGGCCGGGAGCCAAGGAAUGUAAGGAAUGCAGCUCUAGAAGCUGGAAAAGGCCAGGAAACCAAGCGGAGUGUCCUUUGGAGCCUCUGGACGGUGUGCAGUCGGACAGCUUGGUUUCUGUCUAAUGAAACUCAUUUCAGGCUUCUCACCUCCAGAACUAGCCUGAGAGUGAGGCCUUUGAAUGAUGCCCUGGACAGAGCUUGGAACAUGAAGGUGAAUACUGUUGUGGGGAGAAUGCAUCCCUUUGCCUGGCUCUGAGCCAGGGCCAGCUUUGGAUCCUGCUAGCCCCAUGGAUAUAGAGAGACUGGAUGGAGUCAGCUCUUCAUCCUUGCAAAGUCCACUCUGUCAACAUACAGGGAAAAAAAUUCUCAGGAAUACGAGCUCUGAGGAGCAUCCUAGCCAGGACUCACACCACUCAAGCAAGAGUCUAACUUCUUGCUAGAGUCCACUCAUCAUGGCUGUCAUGUCAGGUGUGGGGGCGUCAAGGAUGCUUGCUGGGCUUCUGGCUUGAGCAGCUGGGGCAGUGACAAUGUCAUUGAUUGAUAUCAAUGUCAAAGAUGUGGGAAGAAGAGAUGCAGGGUGCUGAGCUCCACUUUGGAUAGGCUGAGUUUGAUAUGCAGAUGGAGAGAUCCUCAAGAAAACUGGACAUAUGGGUUUAGAGCCCAGGAGAAGGCUCUCAGCUGCCGAUAGAGAUUUGGAAUCUGUUACUUCAGUGGUUAGAUGGGAAGCUCCAGAAAGGAAACUUUUCAGAAGGGAAACUUGCCUGAUGACAGUGAAUAGAACGAGAAGAAAUGAACCCUGCAUGUUGAAGAUGUACUCAGAGGUCAUGGACCUCAUCACAGAGACCCAGAAAAAUAAACCCUGUGUUCUUGGA